UAUUAUGGAGAGUUUGAUCCUGGCUCAGGACGAACGCUGGCGGCAUGCCUAAUACAUGCAAGUCGAGCGAACUGUUGGAAGCUUGCUUCCUUCAGUUAGCGGCGGACGGGUGAGUAACACGUGGGCAA
rnacentral:rRNA from 2 species